UAUGAACGCUAGCGGCAGGCUUAAUACAUGCAAGUCGAGGGACAGCACAGGUAGCAAUACUGGGUGGUAACCGGCAAACGGGUGCGGAACACGUACACAACCUUCCUUUAAGUGGGGGAUAGCCCAGAGAAAUUUGGAUUAAUACCCCGUAAUAUAGUUGAAUGGCAUCAUUUGAUUAUUAUAGCUACGGCGCUUAAUUAGGGGUGUGCGGCUGAUUAGAUAGUUGGCGGGGUAACGGCCCACCAAGUCUACGAUCAGUAGCUGAUGUGAGAGCAUCAUCAGCCACACGGGCACUGAGACACGGGCCCGACUCCUACGGGAGGCAGCAGUAAGGAAUAUUGGUCAAUGGACGCAAGUCUGAACCAGCCAUGCCGCGUGAAGGAUUAAGGUCCUCUGGAUUGUAAACUUCUUUUAUUUGGGACGAAAAAGGGCCUUUCUAGGUCAACUGACGGUACCAGAUGAAUAAGCACCGGCUAACUCCGUGCCAGCCGCCGCCGUAAAAC
rnacentral:rRNA from 1 species